CAGAGGUCUUGAAAUGAAAAGGGUCUCAGAAUCUUACACAGAGGCUUAUACCCGCCUCUAAAGCAAAUCUAUCGCGUCAGGACUGAAAGAAGUCUCAGAAUGUCCCUUUCGGCUGCUUCCUAUGUAUUAGAAAAAUUUGCCUCUCAUCAGAUUUAGUGGUGACCAUUAAAGGAGAACCCAGUUAGCAUCCUCCUGGCUGCUCUGCAACUCCACCUCCCCUAUUUGCUGAGCAACUGCC
rnacentral:lncRNA from 1 species